UCCCUUUCACUACCAACCCUAACAAAUAUUAGCCCAAUAUAUUUUUGGGUCUAUUACUGGGUAGAUGCAAAGCAAGAAAACUAAAAAAAGUCACCAAUCAAAGUUCGAUUUUCAAUGAAAAUGAUGAUCCGAAAGCAGAACAUUUCAACACCGAGAACGAAACUUUUCAGGUCCCAAGAAGAUAAGUCUUUGAAGAUGAAUGACUACAUUGUUGAUGAUCAUGGAAUUUAUGUUGAUUCCGACUGCUUGAAGAAAGUGAAGUUUUGGACUAAAAUAACACACGUUCUCUCAUGAUGUCUUUUUACAUCUUUACACCUCUUAGAUCAUAAAUCAGAUUUCGCUCCAAAUUUAUCUUACAAUGGGUUUGGAAUUUCUUCUUCUUUAGCUGUGCCUUAUGCGUUCAGAAUUACAUCAUGUAAGAUUAACAACUUUUCACACAUAUCAUUAAUUAUCAUGACCUUUGUUUUCAGUAUGUUGUGGAAUUUAAUUUUGAAUUCUAGGGGUAGUUUUGUUUUCAA